GACAGAGGGUGCAAACGUUGUUCGGAAUUACUGGGCGUAAAGCGCGCGCAGGCGGCUAUCCAAGUCAGUGGUGAAAGCCCGGAGCUCAACUCCGGAACUGCCAUUGAAACUGUUUAGCUUGAGGAUGAGAGAGGUGAGUGGAAUUCCCAGUGUAGAGGUGAAAUUCGUAGAUAUUGGGAAGAACACCGGUGGCGAAGGCGGCUCACUGGCUCAUUACUGACGCUCAGGCGCGAUAGCGUGGGGAUCAAACAGG
rnacentral:rRNA from 1 species